GACGUAGGGUGCAAGCGUUGUCCGGAUUUACUGGGCGUAAAGAGCGCGUAGGCGGCUUGUUAAGUGUGAAGCUAAAUCUCCAGGCUCAACCUGGAAAUCAUUUCGCAUACUGGCGAGCUUGAGGAAUGCAGAGGUGAAUGGAAUUCCUGGUGUAGCGGUGAAAUGCGUUGAUAUCAGGAGGAACACCCAUGGCGAAGGCAGUUCACUGGGCAUUAUCUG
rnacentral:rRNA from 1 species